AGAAACGGGUGGGUUCUCGCGGUACCGGCUGACAGAACCGCCGUCUCCCAGAGCCAUUUAGGCUCCCGCUCAUCGUGUGGGAUAUGCUCGGGCGGAGCAGCGGUGAUGGGCUCGACAAACAGGCUGUCCACAGGAACCCCGCCCUGCUCGUCCCGGCGCUGUCCCGGUGUGCCCCGGGGGCUGAGACGGCCGGGAGCCGUAGACCGGAAGCGCGGCCGCCGCCAUCUUAGCUGCGGGCAGACGCCAUGCUGCCACCAUCACAGGAACGGGCAGGAUUUUCGCUACCGGGAACGCGGCGCUGGCAGACCUGCCGCGCCCCGGAGCCUCCGGGGACCACGGCUGUGGUGUGGGGGACGAUCGGUCCGCGUUUCGCCCUGGAGCAGCAGCGAUGGGCUCGUGACCAUGUUCUUAAGCACUUUGACUCCAAAAUUCUACUUUGCCCUUACAGUAACUUCAUCUUUUAUAUCUGGACUGAUAUUUGUGUUUGAGUGGUGGCACUUCCGAAAAUAUGGCACGUCUUUCAUCGAGCAGGUUUCUGUGAGCCAUUUGAGGCCCCUCAUUGGGGGUGCAGAGAGCAGCCCCCCAGCCCCAGCAGCUUUCUCGGCAGGGGAGAAUGAGACCAGCAGGCAGAACAUGCCAGAGUGCAAAGUGUGGCGAAAUCCUCUCAAUCUUUUCCGAGGGGCAGAGUAUAGCAGGUACAUGUGGGUGACUGGGAAGGAGCCUCUUACUUAUUAUGACAUGAAUUUGUCUGCUCAAGAUCAUCAGACCUUUUUCACAUGUGACACGGAUGCCCUUCGGCCUUCAGACACAGUUAUGCAGAAAGCAUGGCGAGAGAGGAACCCGCAGGCCCGGAUUAAAGCAGCAUAUCAAGCUCUAGAGUUGAACAAUGAUUGUGCUACUGCAUAUGUCCUCCUGGCUGAGGAAGAAGCAACAACUAUUGUGGAUGCUGAGAAAUAUUUCAAGCAGGCUCUGAAAGCAGGAGAAAUGAUUUACAGAAAAUCUCAGAACUGCCAUUCCCAGAGCCCCCAGCAUGAAGCACAGCUGAGAAGAGACACCAAUGUAUUGGUGUAUGUGAAAAGGAGACUAGCUAUGUGUGCCAGGAAACUUGGAAGAAUACGAGAAGCAGUAAAAAUGAUGAGAGAUUUGAUGAAAGAGUUUCCACUUCUCAGUAUGCUGAAUAUCCAUGAAAACCUCCUAGAGGCCCUUCUGGAGUUACAGGCUUAUGCAGAUGUCCAGGCAGUUUUAGCCAAGUAUGAUGAUAUCAGUCUUCCCAAAUCAGCAGCAAUAUGUUACACAGCAGCUCUGCUAAAAGCCAGAGCUGUUUCAGAAAGGUUCUCCCCAGAAACCGCCUCCAAGAGAGGACUUAGUACAGCAGAAAUUAAUGCUGUGGAAGCAAUUCACAGAGCUGUGGAAUUUAACCCGCAUGUUCCAAAGUAUUUACUAGAAAUGAAAAGCCUAGUGCUGCCUCCAGAGCACAUUCUGAAGCGAGGGGACAGUGAGGCAGUAGCAUAUGCUUUUUUCCACCUACAGCACUGGAAGAGGAUAGAAGGGGCUCUAAAUCUACUGCACUGCACAUGGGAAGGCACAUUUAGGAUGAUCCCAUACCCAUUAGAGAAAGGACAUCUUUUCUAUCCCUACCCGAGCUGCACAGAAACAGCAGAUAGAGAAUUGUUGCCAACAUUUCAUGAAGUCUCCGUUUACCCCCAGAAGGAACUUCCCUUUUUCAUCCAUUUCACAGCAGGCCUGUGUUCCUUUUCAGCCAUGCUGGCCCUCCUUACCCACCAGUUCCCUGAGCUGAUGGUCAUUUUUGCAAAAGCUUCUGUUCAGCCCUGAAGGCACAGUGCUGAGCAGCUGGAAGAGAGUUGUAGUAUGGAGGAAUGCCACGUUAACCCUCGUGCUUCUGCCCAGGUGCUGCGGGUGCUGUGGCCAGUGAGUGCUCCCAGCGUUCUGGCCUCCAGCUGAACGGACUGCGCCAGGGUGCUUUGGGACUCUUCUUUCACCCUUCAUCUUCACUAUGGAACACAUUGAGGACCUGCUGCUCUCCAGCCCCUGGCAUCAGCUGACUUGUGUGACUGGCUAGUGUAUUUUCCGUGACAGUUUCAUUUUAUUCUUAUGAGCCUCACUUGGUGGUUGGCUGACCCUCAGUGGUGGGAGCCAAGGAAGAAAUCUGGGCUCUUCAAACUGAUAUCCUUGACCGGCUUCCAUGCUGUUGGUGCUUAACAUGUGAAUUUCUUCUUUGGCCUUAAUCUGUAAUCAUCUAAGAAAAUAGGUCUUGCUGAGCAAUAGUUUAUUGCUCUCUAAAUCACUUGGACAACUGGAAGCUCAUACUUCCUCUGUAAGAAAGGAGAAUACGCAAACUGACCAGGUGUUUGGAGUACUGAUGCUUCCUUCUCAGCUGCAGAUGCACCAGAUACUUGGCUUAGAUUUAAUUUCAUAAGCCUUUUUCAAAAUAUUUGUUAACAGCAAAGUAUGGUUCUGCUUUCUUUAUUAAAAGGUUGUUACUUAA